rnacentral:rRNA from 1 species
GAUGAACGCUAGCUACAGGCUUAACACAUGCAAGUCGAGGGGAAACGGCAUUGAGUGCUUGCACUCUUUGGACGUCGACCGGCGCACGGGUGAGUAACGCGUAUCCAACCUUCCCAUUACUGUGGGAUAACCUGCCGAAAGGCAGACUAAUACCGCAUAGUCUUCGAUGACGGCAUCAGAUUUGAAGUAAAGAUUUAUCGGUAAUGGAUGGGGAUGCGUCUGAUUAGCUUGUUGGCGGGGUAACGGCCCACCAAGGCGACGAUCAGUAGGGGUUCUGAGAGGAAGGUCCCCCACAUUGGAACUGAGACACGGUCCAAGCUCCUACGGGAGGCAGCAGUGAGGAAUAUUGGUCAAUGGACGGAAGUCUGAACCAGCCAAGUAGCGUGCAGGAUGACGGCCCUAUGGGUUGUAAACUGCUUUUGUAUGGGGAUAAAGUUAGGGACGUGUCCCUAUUUGCAGGUACCAUACGAAUAAGGACCGGCUAAUUCCGUGCCAGCAGCCGCGGUAAUACGGAAGGUCCAGGCGUUAUCCGGAUUUAUUGGGUUUAAAGGGAGCGUAGGCUGGAGAUUAAGUGUGUUGUGAAAUGUAGACGCUCAACGUCUGAAUUGCAGCGCAUACUGGUUUCCUUGAGUACGCACAACGUUGGCGGAAUUCGUCGUGUAGCGGUGAAAUGCUUAGAUAUGACGAAGAACUCCGAUUGCGAAGGCAGCUGACGGGAGCGCAACUGACGCUUAAGCUCGAAGGUGCGGGUAUCAAACAGG